ACCUGGCUGGCUCAGUUGUAGAGCGUGAGACCCUUGAUCUCUGGGUCGUGGGUUCAAGUCCCACAUUGGGGU
rnacentral:tRNA from 1 species